rnacentral:lncRNA from 1 species
GGCCAAUACAGAAAAAAGCGGGAAAAAAGCCGUAUUAGCCCUAAUACAGGACGUUCACUUCCGGUUUUCAAUUUUCUUACGCCAUUACUUAACUCUGGAAGUAUCGUUAUGCAUAAAAACAUUGGUAUAAUAUUUUUUAAAUUAAAGUCAUAAAAUAAACAGGUUAAAUGAUGUGCAAUGUUUUGUAAUGUCUUAAAGUUUUGAAACGGAAAAAACAGGGCCAAUACAGAAAAAAGCGGGAAAAAAGCUGUAUUGGCCCAUGGGCUAAUACGGGACGUUCACUUCCGGUUUUUAAU